GUGGGGAAUAUUGGGCAAUGGGGGAAACCCUGACCCAGCAACGCCGCGUGAGGGAAGAAGGCUUUCGGGUUGUAAACCUCUGUCCCAUGGGAAGAAAUAAAUGACGGUACCAUGGGAGGAAGCCCCGGCUAACUACGUGCCAGCAGCCGCGGUAAGACGUAGGGGGCAAGCGUUGUCCGGAAUUACUGGGCGUAAAGGGUGCGUAGGCGGCAAUGCAAGUCUAAUGUGAAAUCUCCGUGCUUAACAUGGGGAUUGCAAUAGAAACUGUAUAGCUAGAGUGCAGGAGAGGUAAGUGGAAUUCCUAGUGUAGCGGUGAAAUGCAUAGAUAUUAGGAGGAACACCAGUGGCGAAGGCGACUUUCUGGACGAUGUCUGACGCUGAGGCGCGAAAGCUAGGGGAGCGAACGGGAUUAGAUACCCGAGUAGUCC
rnacentral:rRNA from 1 species